UACGUAGGGUGCAAGCGUUGUCCGGAUUUACUGGGCGUAAAGGGCGCGCAGGCGGCCAUAUAAGUUACUUGUGAAAGCCCCCGGCUAAACCGGGGAGGGUCAAGUGAUACUGUAUGGCUAGAGAGCAGCAGAGGAUAGUGGAAUUCCCGGUGUAGUGGUGAAAUGCGUAGAGAUCGGGAGGAACACCAGUGGCGAAAGCGACUAUCUGGGCUGUAUCUGACGCUGAGGCGCGAAGGCUAGGGGAG
rnacentral:rRNA from 1 species